UCCGCAGGGGGCUAGCGUUGCUCGGACUUACUGGGCGUACAGGGAGCGUAGGCGGGUUAUCAAGUUGGGGGUGAAAGCCCGGGGCUCAACCUCGGAAUUGCCUUCAAAACUGAUAACCUGGAGUAUGGAAGAGGUAAGUGGAACUCCGAGUGUAGAGGUGAAAUUCGUAGAUAUUCGGAAGAACACCAGUGGCGAAGGCGACUUACUGGUCCAUUACUGACGCUGAGGCUCGAAAGCGUGGGGAGCAAACAGG
rnacentral:rRNA from 1 species